UCACGUGGCGGACGGGUGAGGAACGCGUGGGGAACCUGCCCAGUGGUGGGGGGUAGCCUUCGGAAACGGAGGGUAAUUCCGCAUGAGCUCAUGGUCCUUGUGGGGAUGAUGAGGAAAGGUCUUCGGACCGCCAUUGGAGGGACCUGCGUCCGAUUAGCUUGUUGGUGGGGUAACGGCUCACCAAGGCGAUGAUCGGUAGCUGGUUUGAGAGGAUGAUCAGCCACACGGGGACUGAGACACGGCCCCG
rnacentral:rRNA from 1 species